AAAGAUUUAGUUUAAAUAAUAAAACAUUAACUUGUCAAGUUAAAAAUGCAUAUAAUGUAUUCUUUA
rnacentral:tRNA from 1 species